UCUCAUCCACUGCCAUGCAUUUCUCCUAAACAGUGGAGUCCUGUAGUUCUUCCUGGAUGUAACUUUUCAUCCUUCCUCUAAUUCUUUAUUCUGCUGUCUGGACCACACUGACUAGGAUCAAGUGAAGGACAAGCUGGGAGGCCUGGGCCCUGGGAUGUCAUUGGCCUCAUCCCUCAGAGGCUGGACAUGUGUCGUGGGGAGCCUUUCAGACAGACACUGUUUCUUCUUCGGGAUAGCUGCUGCUUCCAUGACGGACGCAGUGGCCUUUCAUCUCCGUUUCCUGUAUUGAUUCUGUUUCUCAGGGGUUGGUUCUGUUUGUCGAGUGUGUGUGUCUUUUUCUUGCUUUUGUUUUCCUUAAAUGUGUAUUGCUCCUUGGUUGUCAGUUUACAUUUACAAAUGAGGAUCUAAUGUGUGUGGUGGUGGUGUAGAGGCUGCAUCCUUAGCCCAGGUGAGAACCUGUUCUCCUGGUCCUCAGCACGUGCUCAUCAGAGGCGCUCUGCCCUGGGUGUGGCACGUGGCUGGGAUGUUUGUAGGCAGCUUG
rnacentral:lncRNA from 1 species